rnacentral:rRNA from 1 species
UAGGGAAUAUUGGACAAUGGGCGCAAGCCUGAUCCAGCCAUGCCGCGUGGGGGAUGAAGGCCUUCGGGUCGUAAACCCCUUUUCUGGGAGAAGAACCGUUCGGGGAGGAAAUGCCCCGGAUUUGACGGUAUCCCAGGGAUAAGCAACGGCUAACUCCGUGCCAGCAGCCGCGGUAAUACGGAGGUUGCAAGCGUUGUUCGGAAUUACUGGGCGUAAAGGGAGCGCAGGCGGUUAGGUCAGUCUGAAGUGAAAGCCCGGGGCUCAACCCCGGAAGGGCUUUGGAUACUGCCUGACUUGAGUACGUGAUAGGAGAGCGGAAUUCCAGGUGUAGCGGUGAAAUGCGUAGAUAUCUGGAGGAACACCGGUGGCGAAAGCGGCUCUCUGGCACGCUACUGACGCUGAGGCUCGAAAGCGUGGGGAGCAAACGG